rnacentral:lncRNA from 1 species
UGAUUCAGUUCACACGCUAUUUAAAUUAUGUUACAAACUAAAAACAAAUCCAAAUAUACUUUAAGAUAUUCAAAAUACAAAAAGAAAUGGGUUGAUAAACCACGUCAAAUUAAACUAAUUCAUAAUUAAAUUUAAAUUAAAAAUUUAAAACUAGAAAUUUUGGUCGGCUCGUUUCAAAUAAAUUACAGAAAUAAAAAUAAAAGAUAUUAAUUAGAAUAUAAAUUUGAGUUUGCAUACUUUUACAAAUAAAAAAUAAUUUACUUUAAAAACAAAAACAAAAACAAAAGAAAAGAACUGAUGGCGGCACCUCGAAAAUUGUAGAGUAACUACGGUAGUUAGUAUAAUCCAUAAUAUAUUUUUUACAAAUUUGGACCAUAGGCAGUUUAUUGUUAAAUAAAGUGAAUUAAUUACAGCUAAAAAUAAAAUAUCGAAUAACAAAUCGAGGUGCGGUCUGCACGCC